rnacentral:lncRNA from 1 species
AAAAAAGAGCAAAUAGGUUACAAAGGCUUUAUAAGUAGCAGCCGCACAAGACAAAAGGUAUCACGUUUUAUCACACAACAGGGAGCAGCAAGCACAUCACGUUUUGGAGAAUUACGACGGGAGGCGCAACAACAAAAUAAAGAGGAUGAAUCUUUGAGUGAAGCAUUCACCAUCCAGUUUAGUUUUUCUUCUAUGUUGUUUAUUCCUUUUGUGAUGAGCAGCUAAUUUUCUUUUGAUUGAGCCAUGAUGAAUCUAUUGUAAUAUAUGAAUCAGUAGUUGAAACUCUCUUUAUUAUCAAUAUUAUUCAGUCUUUAUUCAGAAUUAUUUGUGUUCAUUGCUUUUCAUAUAUGAUUGUUUGCAUGACUAUUAACCCUAGCUUCUUACAAUCACAUAAAUUGAUCUUAGGAAUUGAAUGACUACUAACCCUAACUUUUAAUCCUGAAAUAGUAAUUCUGUUUAAUUCAACAUAGGAACCUAGAGAUAGGAAAUUGAGGAUUAUGACAUAUGAAUUAACGUUCUGACAUCGCUUCCAUGGUUAUUCAAUCGGUUUAAGAGAUUAAAAGGUUAUAACUUAGUAAAGGGUUUUGAGUCAAGAGAUUGAUCAAAACUAAUUAGUUAAUUUGUCGUAAAGAUUGAAUAAGUGUUGAGAGUAAAGAGAGAUAAGUUAUUUCACAUAAAACAAUAGAGGAUUCACUGGCUUGAUCAUCUGUUUUAAUCCAAUUAUCAAACCAUUUUAUUUUCUGUUAUUUACUUUUUAUUGCACACAAACCUACUGCCUCAGGCACUUAUAAAAUCUACACAUCCUAGAUAUUAACUUUAUUGCUAAGUUGAGAUUAACACAGUGCUCGUGGAUACGAACUUAUUUUACUACUUCGAUAGUUUUAGUACACUUGCUAAAAUAUCUAUCAGCGCACAACCUCACUGAAAACUGUUUGGCUAUGUUGGAUGCAUCCGCAGUCUUCUUGCAUGCAAUGAAAUGGGACAUCUUGGAGAAUUAGUCCACAACCACAAACACAGAAUCCACACCUCACUCGGUACGAGGCAAACCCAACACGAAAUCCAUAGAUAAAUCCUACCAAAUGUCAUAAGGAAUGGGUAAAGACAUGUAAAGACAAGUGUUCUGCGACUGACCUUUAGAAACUUGGCAAGUGUAGCAUUUCUUGACUAUGGUUCCAACAUCUUUUCUCAAGUGCGGCCAAUAAAACCUUCCUUCCAUACUAGCAAUGGUCUUAUCUUGCCCCAUGUGUCCACUAAGACCGCCACUAUGUAGGUCCCUAAUUAAUUUGUCCCUCAAGGGUGAGCAAGGAAUGCACAAUAUAAAAAGGUAUCCCUCACGAAUAUAAAAAUCUGCACAAGGACGCUCCUUACAUUUGGCCUUUAAUUCUUUGAACUUAGCAUCACUCUCAUGCAAUUCCUUCAGACAUUCAAAAUCCACAACCUCUUGUGAUAAAGUGACAAGAAAAUAAGCUCUCCUACUUAAAGCAUCAGCUACCUUGUUAAGAGCACCAUAUUUAUGUUGAAUAAUAAAAGGGAAUAUUUUUGCAGAAAACUCACCCACCGAGCGUGCAUCUUUGUUGAUUACUUUCUGACUAUGGAGAAAUUUUAGAGCUUGAUGAUCAGUAAACAAAAUGAACUCUCUAUGAAUCAAAUAAUGCUCCCAUUGGCGAAGGGCUCUGAAAACGGCGUAAAUUCCUGGUCAUAAGUACUCCAUUUUUUGCGAGCUUCACUCAAAUUCUCACUAAAGAAAGCAAUUGGCUUAUUCUCUUUAGACAAAACAGCUCCUAUAUCCAAAACCACUAUCAUCACAUUCCACUUGGAACACCUUUUCAAAAUUAGGAAGAGGUAAGACUGGGGCAGCGCACAACUUCUUUUUUAUUAAGGCAAAACUCUGCUCUUGUUCGGAACCCCACUUUAAUUUUCCUUUCUCCAAACAUUUUGUGAUUGGUGCAGUGAUAAUGCUGAAAUAUCUGAUAAAUCUUCUAUAAAAAGUGGCCAACCCGUGAAAACUACGUUUUUCAGUAACUGAUGUAGGUGCAGGCCAAUCUCUGAUAGCCCUCACCUUUUCUUCAUCGACCUAGAUUCCUUCUUCUCCAACUAUAAACCCAAAGAAAAGUAAUUUGUUGGUAUUGAAUGUGCACUUUUUCAAAUUAACGUACAACUAAUUAUCUUGUAAAACUUGCAACACUAGCCUCACAUGUUCCAGGUGCUCUUUCUUGGACUUACUAUAAAUCAGAAUAUCAUCAAAAUAAACUACUACAAAAGAUCCAAUAAAAGGGCAUAGAAACCUGAUUCAUUAAUCUCAUGAAGGUGCUAGGGGCGUUUGACAAUCUAAAAGGCAUCACUAGCGAUUCAUAAAGUCCAUCUUUACUCUUGAAAUAUGUUUGCCUCUCAUCUCCAGGUCUAAUUCUAAUCUAAUGAUAUCCACUACGCAUGGCUAUUUUCGAAAACACCUUAGAUUCUGAAACUCAUCCAGCAUGUCUUCUAAACGGGGAAUUGGAAAUUGAUACUUGAUAGUUAUCUUGUUGAUGACCCUACUCUCAACACACUUCCUCCACUGAUUCCCUUUCUUUGGUACCAAAAGGACUGGAACAUCACAAGAACUCAUGCUCUCACGGAUAAAUCCCUUUCUUAGUAAAUCCUCGAUCUGCUCUCUUACAAUCUCAUUCUCUUUAGAGCUCAUGCGAUAAUGAGGAAGGUUUGGUAGACUAGAACAUGGAAUCAAAUCUAUCUUAUGUUGAAUGUCUCUCAUGGAAGGUAAAUCAUUUGAAAGCUCUUCUAUAAUCAGCUCAUUAAAAUCUUUUAGAAUUGGAAUCUUUUCUUUCACAACAUUCAUCAUCCCUUUAAUCACAACUGGCAAAAACACUCAGGUUCCUUAACAACAUCGUCAAGUUCCUUUUCAUUCUGAGUCAUCACUAUGAAACUUGAUUUCUUCUCUUUCAGGUUCUUAUCAAAUUGUAAAACAUGUGUCAUAGAAAUCUUAUGCAUUUAAUCUUCCAUUGAGAUUAAUACUUUCAUAUGUGUUGGCUCAUAGAAAGUGAUUAAAUAAAAUACAUUACACAACUUUAGAGAAUGAAUGUACAUGAUAAGUCUAAACCUUCAACAGAGCCAAAAGAAAAACAAGAACCUGUUAGGUGUUCGUGAUCAAGCUUUUUACUCCUUUCAUAUAGUAGAAUCGAAAGAAAAGAAUUAUAUAAUUUCUUAGUAUUAUACUUUUUUGUAUUGUACAUAUACAAACUCGUAAGACUUAGAACUUCUAAGAUAUAAACUUAGUAAGAAAUUCUUAGGCGUUUUUACGCUUUAAUUUUGACAGAGUUUUGGCACUUUCAAAAUGUUCAGAGUGUUGUAUAUUUCGUUAAGUCUUCAGCUCCUUAUAUAGGAAUGAUUUUGAGAGAGUUGGAGAAAUUGUCGGCGCAUAAGAGCCUUUGAGAAGCUAUCGAAUCAAGACGUUGAAAUGUUGUCUGAUAUGGUUAAUGUCAUUUGAAAGGUCAUUCCAAAAACAUUGCUGCAAAUAAAAUUAUUUGUUCCAUUAAUUUUGUCUUUGAAUUUGACUAAGCACAUGAUUCAGAAUAAGACAAUUGUGCUGACUGAAAGUGACCUUCUCAAAAUAAGACAAAGCUGACUAAGCUUUUGGGUCCCUCAGAGUUUGGGUGACUCAGACUAGUACUAGUAGACAUAUUAUCAAAAGGGUUUUGUUAACGAGUGUCCCCGGGGCACUCUUUAAAGAUUUCAAAAGAAGAAAUUAAUUUAUAAAAAAAGUCAAAUAUUUCGAUUUUCAAUGCAUUGAUUACACAUAAUUUGAUGAUAAGUUACAAUUUAAAGGCCUUAACCAGUGCCCCCGGGACACUGGUUAACAUUUCCCUUAUCAAAAUCGGUAUAGUGUACAGCUCACGUACGUAUAGAAAUUCUAUUUACGUAAACUAAGUUUGCGAAAAUGUACCUAAUCUCAGUUUGUGGACUAUUAACUGAAUUGAGUCUUCAAAAAAUUUAAAAGAAUUGAGUUUGUAGAGUGAAUUAAAAUAUUUUUCAUCCAUUGUAUUGACCACAAUGGUUACAUAUUAGCAAGUAUUGUUUAUGUCAUUGCAAUCACAUCUGGUGAUUGUCUAUUUGCAUCUCUAUAAUGUAACCUGUACCAAUUAUUCAAAUCAACAUGAUUAAUUGAAUUGUUUUAAUUCGAGCAUGUAAAAAUAAUAAAUUAUUAGAAUACAUUGAAUUGUUUCCAUAAUCAAUUGAAUUGUUUUAAUCGAAAAAAUAAAAUACAUUAGUUUCAACCAAUUAAAAUGCUCUCAAACCUACUUCAGCAUAUUCAAAAUUUAUUAAUGAUCAAUGCUGCUUCUUUUUUCUAAUGAUUAUCUACAUCAUAUGCAUAUCAUUAAGACAUUAAUUAAUCUUCCAUUCCAAAUUCUGCAGGAUCAGUACCAGGCUUUGCACCGAUUGCAAAAAACUCAGUAAUAAUUUCCAAAGGCAUGCCCUUUGUUUCAGGAACUUUUAAGUAAACAAAUAUCCAUG